rnacentral:rRNA from 3 species
CGAUGGAAAACAGGUUAAUAUUCCUGUACUGAUUUUUAAGUGGUACCGAGGGACGGAGAAGGGAACGGUUGGUCAAUAUUGGAUGUUGACGGAAACGUUCAAGGUGAUGAGAGAUAGAAUAAAAACUAUUCUUGAGCUGAGGCGUGAUACGGUUUGAUUCCCUGUAUGAGAGCUUUGCUCAAAUUCAAAAUGAAACUCAAUUAGUUGUCAAACUUCCUAGAAAAGCUCGAACUUCCAAUACUUAAAAAUUACCCGUACCCGAAACCGACACAGGUAGGUAGGUAGAGUAUACCAAGGGGCGCGAGAUAACUCUCUCUAAGGAACUCGGCAAAAUGGCCCCGUAACUUCGGGAGAAGGGGUGCCCUCAAUUAAGAGGGCCGCAGUGACCAGGCCCAGGCGACUGUUUACCAAAAACACAGGUCUCCGCUAAGUCGUAAGACAAUAUAUGGGGGCUGACGCCUGCCCAGUGCCGGAAGGUGAAGGAAGUUGGUUACUUGAACAUUUGUUUGAGAAAGCUGACAACCGAAGCCCCGGUGAACGGCGGCCGUAACUAUAACGGUCCUAAGGUAGCGAAAUUCCUUGUCAGGUAAGUUCUGACCCGCACGAAAGGUGUAACGAUCUGGGCACUGUCUCGGAGAGAGGCUCGGUGAAAUAGACAUGUCCGUGAAGAUGCGGACUACCUACACCUGGACAGAAAGACCCUAUGAAGCUUUACUGUAGCCUGGAAUUGAAUUUGGGCUUUUCUUGCGCAGUCUAGGUGGGAGGCGUUGAUAGUUCCUUUCCGGAGGAGCUGGAGCCAUCAGUGAGAGACCACUCUGGAGAAGCUAGAAUUCUAAUGGCGAUCCUUGAAUCAGGACGCUUGACAGUUUCAGGUGGGCAGUUUGACUGGGGCGGUCGUCUCCUAAAAGGUAACGGAGAUGUGCAAAGGUUCCCUCAGGCUGGACGGAAAUCAGCCGAAGAGUGUAAAGGCAUAAGGGAGCUUGACUGCAAGACCUACAAGUCGAGCAGGGGCGAAAGCCGGCCUUAGUGAUCCGACGGUACCGAGUGGAAGGGCCGUCGCUCAACGGAUAAA